GACGAACGCUGGCGGCGUGCUUAACACAUGCAAGUCGAACGGAAAGGCCCUGCUUUUGCGGGGUGCUCGAGUGGCGAACGGGUGAGUAACACGUGAGUAACCUGCCCUUGACUUUGGGAUAACUUCAGGAAACUGGUGCUAAUACCGGAUAGGAGCUCCUGAUGCAUGGUGGGGGUUGGAAAGUUUCGGCGGUUGGGGAUGGACUCGCGGCUUAUCAGCUUGUGGGUGGGGUAGUGGCUUACCAAGGCUUUGACGGGUAGCCGGCCUGAGAGGGUGACCGGCCACAUUGGGACUGAGAUACGGCCCAGACUCCUACGGGAGGCAGCAGUGGGGAAUAUUGCACAAUGGGCGGAAGCCUGAUGCAGCAACGCCGCGUGCGGGAUAACGGCCUUCGGGUUGUAAACCGCUUUCGCCUGUGACGAAGCGUGAGUGACGGUAAUGGGUAAAGAAGCACCGGCUAACUACGUG
rnacentral:rRNA from 1 species